rnacentral:siRNA from 1 species
AUUAAAACGUAGCCUAAGAUAAAC